AUCCUGGCUCAGGAUGAACGCUGGCGGCGUGCCUAACACAUGCAAGUCGAACGAAGCAUAUUUGGCGGAGAUUCGUCGAAGCUGGAUAUGACUUAGUGGCGGACGGGUGAGUAAUGUAUGAGCAACCUGCCUUCAGAGGGGGACAACAGUUGGAAACGACUGCUAAUACCGCAUAACAUUACCGGGUGGCAUCACCUGGUAAUCAAAGGAGCAAUCCGCUGAAAGAUGGGCUCAUAUCUGAUUAGCUGGUUGGCGGGGUAACGGCCCACCAAGGCGACGAUCAGUAGCCGGACUGAGAGGUUGAACGGCCACAUUGGGACUGAGAUACGGCCCAGACUCCUACGGGAGGCAGCAGUGGGGAAUAUUGGGCAAUGGGCGAAAGCCUGACCCAGCAACGCCGCGUGAAGGAAGAAGGUCUUCGGAUUGUAAACCUCUGUCUUUGGUGAAGAAGAAAGUGACGGUAGCCAAGGAGGAAGCCACGGCUAACUACGUGCC
rnacentral:rRNA from 1 species